rnacentral:rRNA from 1 species
UACGUAGGGUCCGAGCGUUGUCCGGAAUUACUGGGCGUAAAGAGCUCGUAGGUGGUUUGUCGCGUUGUUCGUGAAAAACUCACAGCUUAACUGUGGGCGUGCGGGCGAUACGGGCAGACUUGAGUACUGCAGGGGAGACUGGAAUUCCUGGUGUAGCGGUGGAAUGCGCAGAUAUCAAGGAAGAACACCCGUGGCUAAGGCGGUUCUCUAGUACGGUACUGACGCU